rnacentral:rRNA from 1 species
AACGGCCAUACCAUGUUGUAUAUACUGGUUCUCAUUAGAUCACCGAAGUCAAGCAUCAUUGGGCGCGGUCAGUACUUGGGUGGGGGACCGCCUGGGAACACCGCGUUC